CUUUGUUCAUUAAUCUCAAGGCUAACCCGGGAGUUUCGCCACAUUAGCUUGCUUCACAUUAAGUCCAUCAUCGCGGGCCCUCAGCUUCCUCCCGCUAAGACCGUCCUUCGGGUUUACUCCAACCCGUGAUGCAAAAACUCCGGAGCACAUCGCCCGAGGGGGAGCGACCGCCCUCGAGCACGGAACUCAUAGCAAGUAUGAUCAAAUCCUUAACUCAAAGGAUUAUAUGUUCAAUCUUAACUUUACACUAACUCUAGUGUUCUUU
rnacentral:lncRNA from 1 species